GCUUUAUUCUGUCUUGAAGGAAACAGAAGAUGUCCCAAUAACAUGUUAAAUUCAUCUUACGACACAUCCUAAAUUGGCUAAAAGCUUGAAUCAUUUCAUGGCAAUAGGUUAAGUGGAGGUAUGCCACUGUUCAAGGAUUACAACUUUACAUUCUUUAAAUGAUUUAACCAAAGUAGCUCAUGUCUCAAACAUUUCUAAUUAUAUAUGUCACGGAAGUAUACAUUUGUAAAGCCUGGCUGAUGACUGAAAGCUUAUUAGAUUCUAGUGCAAUAAUAUCUGUGAUCUUUUAUUGACAGAAAUACAUAAAUACACUACUAGAUACUAAACAAGCAGAACUCCACUAGAAAGAAAAUAAUAAAGAAAGGGUAAAUUCUGGGUUUAAAAGCCAUAGAUAGUUGUUUUUCGAAGCUAUGCAGUGAUAGCUAGAUAGUUUUCACUGUUCAGUCAAGGAGAUGUUUUCUGUGAAGAUGAAGAAGCUGGGGGGAUUCCAGGGAUGAGAGGAGGGAGAAGAGGGAGAGGAGGAAUAAGUGAGAAGGGAGGUGGUGGCAACGGAAGGGAUGGUAUUGGUGGCAACGGAAGGGAUGGUAUUGGUGGCAACGGAAGAGAUGGUAUUGGUGGCAACGGAAGGGAUGGUAUUGGUGGCAACGGAAGGGAUGGUAUUGGUGUCAACGGAAGGGAUUGUAUUGGAGGAGGCUGAAGUGGGUUAGGAGGAAGUAUUGGUGGAAAUAGUGGAGGUGGCUGAAUUAUUGGAGGAAGUAUUGGAGGUGGCUGAAAAGGGUUUGGUGGAAAAAGUGGUGGUGUUGGAAAGCCAAACUGAUUAGGAUGGUGCACCGCUUUUUCAUCUGGUAAUGUUGUGCUCUUAAGAGAUUCUGUAGUUUUGGUAUUUUCUGUAUUUGCUGGAAUUGGUGGAAGAAAAGGUAGCCCUGGAAGAGGUGGGAGAGGAGGGAGUUGCGGUAAUGGUGGCAAUAUUGGAAGCGGAGGAAGAGGAGGGAGAACAGGUGUUUUCGGGUCUUGAAGUGGAGGUGGAAAUGUUGGGUUAUCAAAAGAAGGUAGGAGAGGCUUCUUUGGAACUGAAUUCCCUGGGAUUUUCUAUACUUGGUUUUUGAUUACAUAAGAACGGUUCUUUUUCAGGCUUGAAGGUGAAAAAACCAGCUGAAAAUAUAUGUGUUCCUUCCUUUCUUGACUUGAGACGAAGUGAUGAUGAAGUUGCUGUGGAUGCCACAGCACAAUAAGGCUCGCUGCUACUUAGUAACUCCACUGAACAUCUCUUAAUUUUCUUUACGUGUUUGCUCACUGAGAAAGGCAAAUGAACCUUGAAUUCUCCAUGCUCGUCUGUUUUCGCUUCUUCUCUGAAACUUGGUCUUGAUUUCUCAUCUUUGCAUUCUACAGCAACAUGUGCACCUG